AGUAGAAUAGCUGGGUCAAGUGGUGAUUCCGAGUUUUCUAAGGCAUAUCCAUAUCACUUUCCAUAAUGGCUGCACCAAUUUGCAUUCCCACCAGCAAU
rnacentral:pre_miRNA from 1 species